CAAUAGCGUAUAUUAAAGUUGUUGCAGUUAAAAAGCUCGUAGUUGAAUUUCGGGUCCCCGCGCUCGGCGCUUCAUUGUGCCGUCGUGGUGUCCCUCCUCGCCGUAAGGCGUCCUUUACUGUGAAAAAAUUAGAGUGUUCAAAGCAGGCAAUCGCUUGAAUACAUUAGCAUGGAAUAAUAAGAUAGGAUCUUGUCUAUUUUGUUGGUUGCGGACAACGAUAAUGAUUAAUAGGGAUAGUUGGGGGUGUCCGUAUUGAGCUGUCAGAGGUGAAAUUCUUGGAUUUGCUCAAGACGAACUACUGCGAAAGCAUUCACCAAGGAUGUCUUCAUUAA
rnacentral:rRNA from 1 species